UAGAAAACUUGGUUUUUAUAGGUGUUCUAACUACUACUGUUGCAGAAUUGAAAGUACAGAAAAUAAAGAAUACAUAAAUUUUUACGUGGAAAACACCUGGCUCAAAAGGUGAAAAAACCAUGACCUACUACUCAGUAGGAUUUUCCCAAAUAUUCACUAAAAUCACCGAGCCAAAACAACAUUUACAAAACUCUUGGAAACCUAAGGAUUACCUCUAAUCCUGUUGUAGCAACCAACCUCUAACUAUUGCGAUAACUUCAAACUAACUCUUACUUGAAUACUCAAAGUCCUAUUACAAUUGCUUCUAAAUAAGCUGAAAAGGUAUAAAUUUAAACCACCUACUACAAUUGAACUAGAAAUAAAGAAAGACACAUUAAACUCUUUAUGGAGCUGGUUCUUCAAUCUGGUUCAUGUAGCUUCAGGUUUGCACACUUGAAUCACAUACGAACUGCUUGCAAAAAGCCUUGCAAUUUGCUCUCAAUUCACAUUUAACUUCUAUAUUUUUGUGUAACCCUUUUAAUGUAAGAACAUCCUGCAAUUUACAGAGUUAGUAGAUGAAGAAAUAACUAGAGUUCUGAUGCAACUCUUCUUUGGUGGAAGAGUUCUAGUUGAUUUCAACUUCUAACUCCUUCCCUAUCUUGAAUAGUGUUCUCUUUGAUUAAGGACUCCUUAUCCUUUUCAAUUAUGCAACCUUUUCGAUCAGGAGAUAUUAAAUACACCAAGUUAAGCUUAUCUCCUUCACGUGAAACCCACAUGCUUGAAUCUGUCCGUUUUUUUGCACCUGAGUGAUGAACCUGGUUCAUCCUGAGUUCCUUUGUCAGUCUUCAAAACUAACCUUCACUUGGGUCAACAAAUUCUCCCUUUUUGAUGAUGACAACUAUGUGCUUUUUUAUAAGCAUAUGCCUUGUUUCAACUCAGCUCAACAUCAAUACAAUGUUAGAAACUUUUUUUAUCACUUAUCAUCAAGGACCAGGUGCAUUAGGUUAUAAACAUCACUGUUCAAAGUGAUGUUAACUAUGUGCUUUUUUAUAAGCAUAUGCCUUGUUUCAACUCAGCUCAACAUUAAUACAAUGUUAGAAACUUUUUUUUAUCACUUAUCAUCAAGGACCAGGUGCAUUAGGUUAUAAACAUCACUGUUCAAAGUGAUGUUAACUAUGUGCUUUUUUAUAAGCAUAUGCCUUGUUUCAACUCAGCUCAACAUUAAUACAAUGUUAGAAACUUUUUUUUAUCACUUAUCAUCAAGGACCAGGUGCAUUAGGUUAUAAACAUCACUGUUCAAAGUGUAAACAUCACUUGUUUAAAGCACAACCUUUCCCCCCCUUUUGGCAUUAUCAAAAAUUUGCAUUAAAAAUGUAAGAUAACCAGAUCUUAAAACAUACUCAUGGCUACUGGGGCUUCUCCAAAUGCAAUCAUGGAUUAAUCAUCAUAGAUCAAGCUAAGAAUUUUAACCAUCAAAGAAAUAUGAACAAACAUUUAAAGCAAAAAUAGUGAAUUUCAUUGAUGAUUGAUAAGAUUCUACCACAAUGAAUAAGAAGAAAUAAAAAUACUGAAAACAUGAGCAAAAGAAACAAAAUGUCCCGAACUGGGUUGUCACACCUCCUUUUUCACAACACUCGCAAGGGCAUAAAUGAGUUUUUCUAAUUAAAGAACAAUCUGAACGGGAUUUAAUAUUAAAGAUUCAGAGUCCCGACUUAGGAGAUUAAUGGUGUCCCAAGUUACCGGUUGAAUCCCGAACCGAGGAAAAUAUGUGCCAAUUUUAUCUUUAACCACUUGUUUGAAUUUUUUUUAUUUUAAAUGAAAGUUGAAUGUCAUUUAAAAUGUGUCUUUGGAUCAAGUCACAUGAAAUGCACCCGCAAUCUUAGACAUACUUUAUUCAAUAUUUUGGGAUUUGAUUUGGGUCACAUUAGGGGUGUUCAAAACCGAUCCGAAACCGAAAACCGAUCCAAACAGAAGCUUAAUGGCUUAGUGGUAACGGCUUAACGGCUUAACGGACGGGGAACGGAUUAAAAUUUNNNN
rnacentral:lncRNA from 1 species